AUUAUGUGACCCUCUACCCCUUGCAAUUGUCAUUCCUCCCCUCCCACCGCUUUUUUGUCUAUAAAGAUCUAUUAUCUGCAGACAGACAGACAACAGAAAGAAGGAGCUGGGAAUGGACAUCUCUGCUGCCUCUCUAAUGGACAAAUCCUUGUCCUGGAAUCCAGCAGGGAAUUUUGGAGACACGCGUACAGAGCAGGAAACUGAAGGAAGUGGGUCCCUUAAAGUGGUACACUUUGGUCUAGUAUAAUCAAGACUGUGAAUGCCUUCACUUUCAAAAAAACAAAAAUGUAAGGCGUGAUUUAUCUCUCCCACAACUUUGUGGGCAACUGUUUUUUGGCUGGCUUCUGUGAACCCUGAAUCAGGCCCUUCAAAAGGAUGUUCAGGUCUACAUUUCAGAAAUGCUGUAUUUAAAACACUAAAUUGUUGCUUUAUUUACAGGAAUAUAUAGCUGCAAAAACUGAACCAUAUUUAUGAAGGGU
rnacentral:lncRNA from 1 species